CCAGACCGACUUCUUUUCUGAAAGAAGGAAAACAGAAGCCACAUUUGAUACACGCUGAACUUCUGACCAACCAAAAGGAGGUUAACCACAAGGUCAAAUUCCUUCCUGAUUUUCUGAAGCAAAGCAAGCCCUCCAAGAUGGUUACUGCUAACAUCAUCCUUAUUUUCAAGAUAAAGAAAUUAAGGCACAGAGGGACUAUGUAACUUGUCAAGAACAGCACAGCAAAUGAAGACUCAGCAUUCCUGUCCAGAAGAGGGACAAGCCAACAAGUCCAAAGCCAGCGCCCAGCUUUCCCAGAAGAGGGCGCGCAGUGACCUACCUGAGCUCCAGACAGCCCAGCUGCAGAGCCAUGCCUUCACUGACCUUGCUGGCGUAGCGUUGCAUGUAGUCAUUCCGGAGCUGAUG